UCUAAUUAAACUACAAAAAUAAUUAUAAUUUACCACAUUGUAAGCGUAGAUGCAAGCCGCGAUGGUAAGCGGAGAUGCGAGCCGCGAGCGACGGCCGUCAGGGAGAAAUGCGAGCCGCGAGCGAUGGUCGUCAAGGAGAGAUGCAAGCCAUGAGCGACGGCCAUAGAGAGAGACUCGAGCCGCGAGGGAUGGAAAGAAGACUAGAGGACUGAGGACAACCAAGUUGCUGACGGUGCGGAGAGCCGACGAACUGGAGAGCGACGGGCGACGAUUGCGUGGAGAGUGACGACCGACGAUUGCGUGGAGAGCGACGGCCGAC
rnacentral:lncRNA from 1 species